rnacentral:sRNA from 1 species
AGGUACCACUCUCACGCUCUGGUUCUGAGCGCACCGUCCACACCCGCCUGACGACUGCGCGCUACGUGUUGUUGGCC